rnacentral:rRNA from 1 species
UAAGGAAUAUUGGUCAAUGGACGCAAGUCUGAACCAGCCAUGCCGCGUGAAGGAUGAAGGUCCUCUGGAUUGUAAACUUCUUUUAUCUGGGACGAAAACGGGAUUUUUAUCUCAAUUGACGGUACCAGAGGAAUAAGCACCGGCUAACUCCGUGCCAGCAGCCGCGGUAAUACGGAGGGUGCGAGCGUUAUCCGGAUUUACUGGGUUUAAAGGGUGCGUAGGUGGGCUUAUAAGUCAGUGGUGAAAUCUCCGAGCUUAACUUGGAAACUGCCGUUGAUACUAUAGGUCUUGAAUUAUCUGGAGGUAAGCGGAAUAUGUCAUGUAGCGGUGAAAUGCUUAGAUAUGACACAGAACACCGAUCGCGAAGGCAGCUAGCUAAGCUAUAACUGACGCUCAUGCACGAAAGCGUGGGGAUCAAACA